rnacentral:lncRNA from 10 species
GUGACAGGAAGGACAGGAUGGAGCCGAAUGGCCUGGGGAAGGAGCAGGGGCUGCAGGCCCUGGGUGGGGCUGGGGAGAACCAGCCUGGGAAUAGGAGCUAUUAUAGGUGAUAGGGAAACUGAGGCAGUAAUUACAGUGCCAGAGAAUAGAUAUUCAUGAUAAGGACUGAGCAUAUUAAAUUAGGGUGAGAGAGGACACCCAAAGGGAGGCUCUGAGGGUCCUGACCCUCUCCUUGCGCCUCCACCCACAAGCUGUGCGAAAUGACCGGAACAAGAAGAAGAAAGAGGUGAAGGAAGAAGGGUCACCUGACAGCUAUGAGCUGAGCCCUCAGUUAGAAGAGCUCAUCACCAAGGUCAGCAAAGCCCAUCAGGAGACUUUCCCCUCGCUCUGCCAGCUGGGCAAGUAUACCACGAACUCCAGUGCAGACCACCGCGUGCAGCUGGAUCUGGGGCUGUGGGACAAGUUCAGUGAGCUGGCUACCAAGUGCAUCAUCAAGAUCGUGGAGUUUGCCAAGCGGUUGCCUGGCUUUACAGGGCUCAGCAUUGCUGACCAGA